rnacentral:rRNA from 1 species
UCUGAAUCUGCGUACGGCUCCGCAAACCAGUUGUAAACUAUAGCAAGCAAGCCCGGGGUCGGCCUUCACGGGCUGGUUCCGGGUGAUAUGGAUAACCCUGGUAAUUCUGAGGCUAAUACAUGACCGUAAAACCUAGCUGACCGGCUUCGGCUGGGAUGCUGGGGGACGUGUGAUUUGGGCUUGGUAACACCGGGAAGGGGCGCACGUCUAGACCACGCUAUAAAGGUCGGUUUCCUCCUCGGAGGGGGCCGUCCCAGUGGCUCUUGCUGUGUGCUUCUGACCUAUCAACUAGACGGCAGCGUAAGGGACAUGCUAUGGU